rnacentral:rRNA from 1 species
GAUGAACGCUGGCGGCGUGCCUAAUACAUGCAAGUCGAGCGAACAGACGAGGAGCUUGCUCCUCUGACGUUAGCGGCGGACGGGUGAGUAACACGUGGAUAACCUACCUAUAAGACUGGGAUAACUUCGGGAAACCGGAGCUAAUACCGGAUAAUAUAUUGAACCGCAUGGUUCAAUAGUGAAAGACGGUUUUGCUGUCACUUAUAGAUGGAUCCGCGCCGCAUUAGCUAGUUGGUAAGGUAACGGCUUACCAAGGCGACGAUGCGUAGCCGACCUGAGAGGGUGAUGCGCCACACUGGAACUGAGACACGGUCCAGACUCCUACGGGAGGCAGCAGUAGGGAAUCUUCCGCAAUGGGCGAAAGCUUGACGGAGCAACGCCGCGUGAGUGAUGAAGGUCUUCGGAUCGUAAAACUCUGUUAUUAGGGAAGAACAAAUGUGUAAGUAACUAUGCACGUCUUGACGGUACCUAAUCAGAAAGCCACGGCUAACUACGUG